rnacentral:rRNA from 1 species
GCCACCCGACCAUCCUGAACGCACGUGAUGCCAUCUGGCUUGGGAAGCUAAGCAGGAUCCGGCUUGGUUAUUACCUGGAUGGGAGACCUCCAGAGAGAACCACCUCGGCAGGUU